GGUUGUGGCUCAGUGGUAGAGCACUUGCCUAGCGUGCGAGGCACACUGGGUUCAAUCCUCAGCACCA
rnacentral:tRNA from 1 species